ACUUCUCUUUUCCUCUUAGGUCACAUGAAAUAGACCUUUAUAGAUGGGAAGACUUCUUUUCUAUCUGCAUUUGGGCAGAGGGAAGGACACUUCAUCUUGGCCUUUUAAAAAGAUCACAACAUUAGCACACACAUGAAGAUAAGAAGAAAAGAGGCCAUGCCUGUGGAAUUAUACCAACGCUUUUCAGGCUCUGUGGAAAGUCCGCUACCUGGAGUACCUCGUUGAAAUCUGGAGAACAAAGAUGCUCAUCAGAUUCCAAUUCUAGUGGAGAAAUAAAAUUACUAAAAGUUCAUACACAGGGAUGUUGAGCUAGUUUUAUUUGUCUCCCUUGGAUAUUGGUACAAAACAGUGAGUAGAUUCUUCUACAAUUUCUGAAUGAGAUGUUUAGAAGAGUAGCUGAAAAUAGUUAAGAAAAUAUUAGUAGAAUGAAUGAAUUU